rnacentral:rRNA from 1 species
UACGAAGGGGGCUAGCGUUGCUCGGAAUCACUGGGCGUAAAGGGUGCGUAGGCGGGUCUUUAAGUCAGGGGUGAAAUCCUGGAGCUCAACUCCAGAACUGCCUUUGAUACUGAGGAUCUUGAGUUCGGGAGAGGUGAGUGGAACUGCGAGUGUAGAGGUGAAAUUCGUAGAUAUUCGCAAGAACACCAGUGGCGAAGGCGGCUCACUGGCCCGAUACUGACGCUGAGGCACGGAAAGCGUGGGGAG